rnacentral:rRNA from 1 species
GACGAAGGAUGCAAGCGUUAUCCGGAUUCAUUGGGUUUAAAGGGUGCGUAGGCGGACUGAUAAGUCAGUGGUGAAAUCUCUUUGCUUAACAAAGAAACUGCCAUUGAUACUGUCGGUCUAGAGUAUAGAUGACGUUGGCGGAAUAUGACAUGUAGUGGUGAAAUACUUAGAUAUGUCAUAGAACACCGAUUGCGAAGGCAGCUAACGAAACUAUAACUGACGCUGAGGCACGAAAGUGCGGGGAGC